UACGUAGGGUGCGAGCGUUGUCCGGAAUUACUGGGCGUAAAGAGCUCGUAGGUGGUUUGUAACGUCGUCUGUGAAAUUCCGGGGCUUAACCUCGGGCGUGCAGGCGAUACGGGCAAUACUUGAGUGCUGUAGGGGAGACUGGAAUUCCUGGUGUAGCGGUGAAAUGCGCAGAUAUCAGGAGGAACACCGAUGGCGAAGGCAGGUCUCUGGGCCACUACUGACGCUGAGAAGCGAAAGCAUGGGGAGCGAACAGGAUUAGAUA
rnacentral:rRNA from 1 species